GCCCCCUUAGCUCAGGGGAUAGAGCACCGGCCUCCGGAGCCGGGCGCGCAGGUUCGAAUCCUGCAGGGGGCACCG
rnacentral:tRNA from 1 species